GAGCCUUACAUCCGAAUAUACCUGACCACCUCACGCUUGCGUCGACAGCGUCGUAAGGCAGCGUCGUCGUCGGCCGUCUCGACGUCGACGGAGAUUCAGUUGCGAAUAGAUAUUUUGUCGGACGCUACCGUAGAUCUUCCUGCGGGACGUCGUCGUGGAUAGAACGCGGUCGUGUGGACCUCCCCCUUUUCCCGAGAAGCCGGCAGGUGUUUGGAAAGUUGCUGCUGUACGCCUUUCAAUUUGUUACAAAACUCUUCUCUUUGACAGUAAUGGAUUUUUUCUCGUCGAACUGCGCCUGUAUGAAGGGACGUAAACGACCCGUGAUCAACUAUGAAUACUCCGAUAGUGAUUCGAAAUCCGUGUCCGAUAUAGAACUUCGGGCUUCUAGUGAACCGCCGGAAACGAACAAAAAA
rnacentral:misc_RNA from 1 species